rnacentral:rRNA from 1 species
CCAGCAGCCGCGGUAAUACGGAGGGGGCUAGCGUUGUUCGGAAUUACUGGGCGUAAAGCGUACGUAGGCGGCUUUGUAAGUUAGAGGUGAAAGCCUGGUGCUCAACACCAGAACUGCCUUUAAGACUGCAUCGCUUGAACGUCGGAGAGGUGAGUGGAAUUCCGAGUGUAGAGGUGAAAUUCGUAGAUAUUCGGAAGAACACCAGUGGCGAAGGCGGCUCACUGGACGACUGUUGACGCUGAGGUACGAAAGCGUGGGGAGCAAACAGGAUUAGAUACCCUGGUAGUCAAGGGCGAAUUCG